rnacentral:rRNA from 1 species
UACGGGGGGAGCAAGCGUUGUUCGGAUUUACUGGGCGUAAAGGGCGCGUAGGCGGUCAGCACAAGUCAAUUGUGAAAUCUCCGGGCUUAACCCGGAAAGGUCAACUGAUACUGUGCGACUAGAGUGCGGAAGGGGCAACUGGAAUUCUCGGUGUAGCGGUGAAAUGCGUAGAUAUCGAGAGGAACACCUGCGGCGAAGGCGGGUUGCUGGGCCGACACUGACGCUGAUGCGCGAAAGCCAGGGGAGCGAACGGG